GCCGGGCAUGGUGGCACAUGCCUGUCAUCCCAGCAGCUCAGGAGGCUGGGGCAGGAGUCCAGCAAGUCCAAAGCCAGCCUCAGCAACUUAGUGAGGCCCUGAGCAACUUGGCAAGAUCCUGUCUCAA
rnacentral:sRNA from 1 species